GUUAAAGGCAAAAGAGGCUGAAAGAUCUUUGCACAUCUUCUCAAUACUUCCCUUUCUGAUCUAGUUGAGAGGUCAUGGAGGUUUUCUACAUCAAUUCGUCUCUGCUCUUCAUCUCUCACAGACCGCUCAACUCCACUGCGGUUGAGAAGACAGUGUAUGAGUCCUGCAGAAACAUGCCUGCCGUACUUAUCUGGUAUCUGAGCCUGCAGUUCACUAACAUGUUCCUAGGCAUCCCAGCCAACGUCACGGUGCUGUGGCUCAUCCACAAGAACAAACGCGACUCUUCCACCUCUGACAUCUUCAUCCUUCAUCUGGCAGUUCUGGACGUCCUCUUCUGUCUCAUCCCUCCCCUGGAGCUCGUAAACCUCGUCUUCCUCACCACGACUACCAGCACCUGGUACGUCCUGCGCUUCUUCUACGGCAUCAAAGACUCCUCGCCCCUCUUCCUUUCUUGCAUCUGCCUGGACCGCUACAUGGCCGUGGUCCACCCCAUCAUCUUCACUAAGCUCAAAGACCGUCUGCACAGGGCAGUCCUGGCCAUUGUGGUCUGGCUGAUCAUUCUGGUCUACGCAGCUGCCAAAUGCGCAGGAAACAUCGUUAACUUCGACAAGGUUUUCACGGUGAUGAUCCUCGGAGCGUUCGCCUUCAUGGUGUACUGCAACGUAGCGAUCCUCUGGGUGCUGAGGCAGUCGCGGCCUGGCGGAGAUGCCAUGCAUCCCGUGAAGAAGAAAGCCUUCAAGAUGGUCCUCAUUAUCCUGGCCAUCAUAGUGUUCAACUACUUCCCACCUGUCGCACUCUUCCCGUUCAAAGAGUACUUUUCCCCCGAUGUGUUUCGCUGCUAUAUUCACUACAUCGCCUUCGGCUUGAUGGACUUCAGCAGCACCAUUCAGCCUGUGCUGUAUCUGUCCAAGGAGGGGCUGCCAUGGAGCAUCACCUGCAGCCAGAGGAGCAACACUUAAAUCCAGCGGGGCUACAUGUAUGUUGGAUGUAUUCGAACAAAUGUACUGCUCCUGCUUGAUUGCAUGUUGAAAAUUAUGAUUAAUGAAACAUUUACCAAUGAGGUAAAUAGAUCUAAGCGCCCUACAAGACCCCAGAAUUUUGAAGUUCUUGGUUUAAUUAACAAGAAAGGUCAGACCUACAGAUAGCUCUGAAAUAAUACAUCUUUAAGGGGUGUGGGAAGUUAUAAAAAUCAUUGUUAUUUUACUAGAUUUCAUAGGAUAAUUAAUAAAGGAAUGAGUAUCUUAGAGGUUAGUUAGUGACACCCUCAAACAGCAGUUACAGUGGGUGCUGUCAGUAGGUGUGCUGUGACACUUUAUGUGAUUUCACUCUGCCACUGUAACAUUUUCUUUAAUUCAAUUUUUUAAAAGAAAACCAUGCACACCUAUUUCUUUAUAUAUCUGAUUAAAUAAACAUGCAUGCCCUUUUCGUCCUCGCGUGUAGCCAUGUCCUCAGUUUGAGUCGCAAACUACAAGGAAUCUAAUGCACAUGAGCGCAGACAACAGAGACUAAUUGCAUUUAAGGCAACGAGGAACACCAGCGAUAAAAUAUCAUGUUUGGAAAUCAGGCAAAAACAAUGGUGGACAGAUAUGAGUACACGUUGGUGAGAUGAUGUCGCCGCUUCCUUUUGGCAAUAUUUUACAUAUUCAAACCUCAGAUACCUGCAGUCUGACCGCGAUGAGGCAACAGGUCAUAAAUCCCUUUCAUAAAGAUGAUAAAUUUUCACAUGCAGCCUCCCUUAAAAUUCACGGUGCCAUGAUCUUCCCUUUAAAUUCACACAAAUACUUGAUACUGGUAGCAGCAGUGGAACAUUUGAUGGUGUUGUGGAAAAUCUAACAAUAACCUGCAACACACCCAGUGAGCUUGAUUUGAAGUGGGUUUAGUAAACGCACUGCAAUGUGGAGAGAGCAUCCCAGUGAAACACUAGGUCCAUCUGAAUUGUGGCCACCGCCCUAACAUCUUAUAUACAGAGACACAGACAAAGAACAUUCCACAAACUCUUACAUGUUGGCCCUCUCACGGGGGGGGG
ensembl:lncRNA